AAGUCGUAACAAGGUUUCCGUAGGUGAACCUGCGGAAGGAUCAUUACUGUGAUUAAAACUUUCUACACAUGCGUGAGCGCAACUACAACACGAAAACGUAUGUACUAUUGUCAAAAUUAACAAAACAAACAAAACUUUCAACAACGGAUCUCUUGGUUCUC
rnacentral:misc_RNA from 1 species